CUACCGGGAGGCUGCAGUGAGGAAUAUUGCACAAUGGGGGGAACCCUGAUGCAGCAACGCCGCGUGGAGGAUGACGCAUUUCGGUGUGUAAACUCCUUUUAUAUGUCAAGAAAAUGACGGUAGCAUAUGAAUAAGCACCGGCUAACUCCGUGCCAGCAGCCGCGGUAAUACGGAGGGUGCAAGCGUUACUCGGAAUCACUGGGCGUAAAGGACGCGUAGGCGGGUUGGAAAGUCAGGUGUGAAAUCCUACAGCUUAACUGUAGAACUGCACUUGAAACUUCUAAUCUAGAGUAUGGGAGGGGGAGAUGGAAUUAGUGGUGUAGGGGUAAAAUCCGUAGAUAUCACUAGGAAUACCUAAAGCGAAGGCGAUCUCCUGGAACAUUACUGACGCUAAGGCGUGAAAGCGUGGGGAGCAAACAGGAUUAGAUACCCCAGUAGUC
rnacentral:rRNA from 1 species